ensembl:lncRNA
CACACUAUACUAUGGCUUCAUUCAACAUGCUAUACUAUAGCCCUUUUUCACCAUUUCGACAGACUAUACUAUGACCUUUUUCACCAUUUGGACACACUAUACUAUGGCUUCAUUCAACAUGCUAUACUAUGUCCUUUUUCAUCAUUUUGAUACACUAUACUAUGUCCUUUUUCACCAUUUUGAUACACUAUACUAUGACUUAAUUCAACAUGGUAUACUGUAAUUUAUUGUUUCACUUUUUCGACAUGCUAUACUAUGACCCUCUUCACCAUUUCGACACGCUAUACUAUGACUUCAUUCCAUCAUGCUAUACAAUGACUUAAUUCAACAUGGUAGACAGUGAUUUAUUGUUUCACUUUUCCGACAUGCUAUACUAUAUCUUCUUUUUCAUAUUUUUGACAUGCUAUACUAUGACCUUUUUUCACCAUUUCGACACACUAUACUAUGACCCUCUUCACCAUUUUGACACGCUAUACUAUGACUUCAUUCACCAUUUCGACAUGCUAUAGUAUGACUCCAUUCAUCAUGCUAUACUAUGUCCUUUUCCACCAUUUUGAUACACUAUACUAUGACUUCAUUCAACAUGCUAUAAUAUGACAUUUUUUUUACCAUUUCGACACGCUAUACUAUGACCUAUUUCAACACGCUAUACUAUGACUUAAUUCAACAUGCUAUACUCUGACAUUUUUCACCAUUUCGACACGCUUCAUUCAACAUGCUAUACUAUUACUUAAUUCUUCACCAUUUUGACAUGCUAUACUAUGAUUUAUUUUUUCACUUUUUUCGACAUCCUAUACUAUAGCCCUUUUCACCAUUUCAACACACUAUACUAUGACUUCAUUCAUCAUGCUAUACCAUGACUUAAUUCAAUAUGCUAUGCUAUGAUUUAUUGUUUCACGUUUUCGACAUGCUAUACUAUAGCCCUUUUUCACCAUUUCGACAGACUAUACUAUGACCUUUUUCACCAUUUCGACACACUAUACUAUGGCUUCAUUCAACAUGCUAUACUAUAGCCCUUUUUCACCAUUUCGACAGACUAUACUAUGACCUUUUUCACCAUUUGGACACACUAUACUAUGGCUUCAUUCAACAUGCUAUACUAUGUCCUUUUUCAUCAUUUUGAUACACUAUAAUAUGACUUUUUUACCAUUUCGACACGCUAUACAAUGACUUAAUUCAUCAUGCUAUUCUAUGAUAUAUUGUUUCACUUUUUCGACACACUAUACAAUGUCUUCUUUUUCAUAUUUUUGACAUGCUAUACUAUGACCUUCACCAUUUUGACACUCUAUACUUCAUUUAUUAUCCUAUACCAUUACUUAAUUUAACAU